CUGUGCGCCUCCAAGAUCCCGGAUGCGCAGGCGGCCUAUGAGAGCGCCAAUACGCUCAAUUCCACGGUUCUGGCCGGAACCAACUUCGUGCUG
rfam:Aquamicrobium defluvii strain W13Z1 genomic scaffold V9__scaffold_03, whole genome shotgun sequence.